AUGGGGAACAAGGCAGGGAGGGGAGAGAGGCCCGGGCGGUGUGUAUGCGCCUUUGUUUAAUUACACUGUUUAACACACUGAGAAUAAUUUAGCCAUCCAAGUGGAGAAAAUAAGGGACUUAACCGUUCCCUGGUGGCAACGCUCCACGGCUCACCGUCGGCUGUUUCUGCCUCCUCGGAGUCUCUCACGCACCUUCGGGAUUUCUCUCUGACCGCGGGGAAGGAAGUGUUUGCGGGAGGAACGUUGAGUUUGGACACUCACCCACCUCGAGUUCAAGGGACAGAGAGGCUGCUCCGUGAGAGAUGGAGUCUCUGGUGCGCGACUGAGGAAUGGACCGUCUUCCGGAGACCCAAGGGAGAAGCCGACGUCGGAUCGGCCUCAAGUGACUGGCGGAAGCCAAUGGUUCGUUACAUUCCACAAUCUGAGCUCUCACUACACUCAACUGACUGCAGAAGCAAACUGUAACCGCUUUGACGUGGUGCAUGUUUUGGGGAGUGACGGGAAAUGCGAUUGAGGAAGAAACGCUGUGACAGGUGAGGGAAUCAGAAGCCAAGAAUAAAGAAUUCUCUCACUCAAUGCCGACAGAACUGCCUGUUUCCACAGAGCCCAUUACUGGUGCUAUGCUUGGUCUCUUUCUGAGAGUUGGGAGCCAGGGUGAAUGGGAC
rnacentral:lncRNA from 1 species